rnacentral:lncRNA from 1 species
UCUGACUGGCCAUACUCGCAUUCCCCAACUACUGAUAUAGAUCCGUGUCCUACUGCUUAUGGGCCUGGCGCUGCUCACCCUAAACUCACUCCUCUUGCCUUAAGUCUACAUUGAACCUAUUAAGGUCAUUACAGCCCGUCUGCCCUGCCUUGCUUCUAGUCAGCCUGAAGUACCCAUCUUUGAGUCACCAAGUCACUACCAAUGAGAAGAAGCGACCUACAGCGAAAAAGAAUCAAAUAAGAAAUGCAGAAUACACCCGCUAUGCAGAGUUGCGAUAAGGGAAUUAAAGACAGAAGUCAAUAUGCUGGUCUAUAACACAGGAAAAAGAAGAUCUAUAGAAAGAAUUACUGAAACACCCGAUAGACUGGAUUGUGUAUAAAGGAACAGGGAAUAAUUGAACUCAUUGGUAAGAUAAUACCCCUAGUGCGCUUCUCCUAUGUCCCUCGUAGAUCUA